CACCACAGGUCUAUAAGCCUGCCUGUUCCAGGAAAUACUCGCCAAAAUAUUGGAUUUACUUCCAGCGGUACAACGGCUUAUUUACCUCACGAGGGUCAUCCGGUGAGGACAUGCAACAACUAAGCAAUAGGACACGAUGACAGAGGACAGAAACUUCUCCAGAACUUUAUCACUGACCUGUCUGGUACUGAGUGCCACUCACCAGCGCUCCUCACUGACCAGGCUGACUUACUGAAAGUGCUCCUGCGCAGAGGAAUGAUACAGUCACCUCUGACAGAGCCUCGAGUGACACGCUCAGAGCCAUUUCUUCGGCUCAUGAACUCAGCCAGAGGAGCUGGAGCCAAAUCAUGCAGUACUUUAUAAAUCAAAUUUAAAUCUGCAAAUAUGUGAAGACUGUCCCAGUUUAAAAGACUGUAUUUUUUUUAAAUUGCACAGUGAUGAUAGUGCCUUGGUUUUUUUAUCCAUCACUUUAAUUACUUGUUUGUACAAAACUUUCAAUGUUUUUUUUGCAUUCUGACCAGCCUGGGACCAACUGGUUAUGCAAUAGUUGAAGUGACUAAGAAUUAUUGAAUGCAAGUACAUUUUUGCGGCUUCAGUUGACAUUUCAUUUCAAAUUGCACGAAAAUUUGUGAGGUUUAAUUUGAUGUUUUUACACAAUUUGUCAAUAUGGGAUUUAAAGGAAAGCUGUGAAUCUAUUAUUAGCCCAAGAUAUUUGUAUUGGCUGACAAUUUGCAUUUUUUCUCCAUUAACAAGUAUGUCGGGGUGAGGUGAUACUCUAUUUGUUUUAGUGAAAUACAUGCCUACAGUUUUAGAAUCGUUUAGCUGUAGACAGCACUCCUGCAACCAAGUUGUGACACAGGACAUUGUAUUAGUGAGUUCAGCAGCAACAGUAUCUUUGGAGCGACCAUGAACAAAGAAAACCGUGUCGUCUGCAUACAUUACGCUCUUGGCUUCAGAACAAACAGUGGGCAAAUCGUUGAUAUAAAGAUUAAAUAAAAGGGGGCCUAAUAUUGAUCCCUGAGGGACUCCAGAGGUUAGCCUAAGAGACUCAUAUCUGCAGUUGUUAACUGAUACAGAUUGUGUUCGAUCAUGCAGAUAUGAUUCAAUCCAGCUCACAGCUUUGCGAGAGAAGUUAAAUUUUGAGAGCUUGGUAAGAAGAACAGAGUGAUUUACUGUAUCAAAAGCUUUCCUGAGGUCCAAGAACACCGCCCCUACAACUCCACCCUAGUCGAGAGAAGAUUUUAUUUUCUCAAUGAAGAGGCAUGUAGCUAUUUCAGUGGAAUGCUUGGAUCUGAAGCCAAACUGCAUGGCGUGGAGAGAGGGGGAGCUGCUGUUUAAGUAAUGGACAAUCUGCUCUGACACCCAUUUUUCUGCAAUUUUGGAAAUGGCCGGAAGAAUGCUUAUAGGUCGGUAGUUAUUCAGAAAAGUUGAGUCACCGGAUUUAAAGACAGGGGUAACAAUAGCAGAUUUCCAGGCCUUUGGAAAGUGACCAGAUGAAAUUGAAAGAUUAAUGAUUGAGGCAAUAGGAGUGGAAAGAGUUGAACCUAGAUCUUUGAGCAUGUUCGUGGCCAUUCCAAAAACAUCCUUUGUCUUAGAUGGUUUUAGUGAAUGAAUUAAAUCGAUAACUUUGGUCUCAGUAAUAUUUGUAAUAGUAAAGAACUGCAUUGCAGACAAUGCAGGGUAUUCCUUCCUUUGUUUUACUGCAAACUUAGCAGAGAUUUCUGACACAGAUUCAAUGAAGUAGUUGUUAACAGCAUCAGCCAUCACUUGAGGUUCCGUCAGGAUGUUUCCAUUUAAUUGAAUUUGCAUUAGUUUUGUUUUGUUAUUUUGUGUAUCACCCAAUAGUUUUUUUGAUAUAAUUCCAGGUUAUUUUAGAACUUCCCUUUGCGCUAUUAAAAGCAGUAAUGAAAAAGUCAGCUUUAGAUUUUCUUAUUUCUUUCACUACCCUAUUUCUCAGUGAAAUACAUUGGUGUCUAUUGUGUCCUGAUUUGACCGACAACUUCAAGGAAUGAUUUCGUUCUUUCAUCAGUUUCAGAGUAAAUUUGUUUAACCAAGGAAGGGCAUUCUUUCUAGCUUUUAGUUUAAUUUUCCGUGUAAAUUGUAUAAUAAUUUUUUGUAUUUUGUUGGCAAAUUUAUCAAUCCUCAUCUAAAUUUUUGCCAGCGAGUAAUUCAUCCCAGUUUACUUCUUGGAUAGAAAUUUUGUUGUUCAUGUUUUGGUAUCCUAUAGGAUUCAGUGGUGGCCAAGGGUUUGAACACUUUUUAUUUCAUUUUCUUGUGACCAUUCUAAGAUUGUGAUCAGACAAUCCUGUGAGCAUAUUGUAUGGCUUCAAGAUCCUUUCUGGCCUAUUAGUAAAAGUUAGAUCAAUCUGAGUGCGGGUGGAGUUUGUAAUUCUCGUAGGGCCAUUAAUUACCUGAAUCAUAUCCAUAUCAUCCAUAACCCUUUUAAAUUUUUUUCCUAACUUUGUUAACUUCCCAAUUAACAUUUCGGUCACCCAUUAUUAUCACCUCUUUUGAAAGAUUGAGUUGUUUCAGUAAAAUUUCCAGCUUUUCAUAAAAAUCUGCAUAUGAUGAGGGAGGCCUAUAAAUAUCUACAAGAAUAAAAGACAUUUCCUGUGAAAAAAAAGAAACAGUUAGUCCAAGAAAUUCUAAUCCAUUCUCAUCUGUAACAUGUAUUUCAUUACAAUUAAAAGUGUCCUUGGCAUAAAUCAUAACCCCUCCUCCCUUAGAACCCUGUCUGUCUUUUCUAAACAUUUUAUAACCAGGUACAGAUAGUAUUGCUGAGGGCGA